GAGACUCUGUGCGCGUGCAUAUCAAUAAGCGGAGGAAAAGAAACUAACAAGGAUUCCCUUAGUAACGGCGAGUGAAGCGGGAAGAGCUCAAAUUUGAAAUCUUCAAGGUUUACCUUGACGAAUUGUAGUUUAUAGAAGUGUUUUCUGUAGUGGAGUUUGGUAAAAGUUCUUUGGAAUAGGACAUCAUAGAGGGUGAGAAUCCCGUAUUUGGUCAUUCCUCCUAGCGUUGUGAUACACUUUCAACGAGUCGGAUUGUUUGGGAAUGCAGUCCAAAAUGGGUGGUAAAUUUCAUCUAAAGCUAAAUAUUGGCGAGAGACCGAUAGCGAACAAGUACCGUGAGGGAAAGAUGAAAAGAACUUUGAAAAGAGAGUUAAACAGUACGUGAAAUUGUCAAAAGGGAAGCGUUUGACACCAGUGUUGUUUUUCCGAAAAUCAAUCACGAAUGUUUUGUUUUUGAGGAGUUAUGACUUCAUCGGCUUGCUCCUUUCUUUACUGAAACUUUCUUAAUGCACUUUUCGGUUAACAAGUCAACAUCAAUUUCUUUUGUUGUAAAAGGGUAUGAGGAAGGUGGCUUUCUUUUCGGAGAAAGUGUUUAUAGCCUUGUGCCUCUACAAUCGGAGAGAUUGAGGUCUGCAGCGUAGAUCCUUCGGGGUUAGAUACGUUUGUGCUAAGUUAUAGUCUUUCAUAGACAACUUGCUGACUAUAAUUAAUCCUUGUAACUUACUCGCUUACUGCUAUUUUACCUACGCUUAGGAUGUUGAUCUGUAGUGCGUGCGC
rnacentral:rRNA from 1 species